UACCAUAUAAAACAAAAAUUGAAGAUUUAGUACAAAGUACACUUACAGACUAGACCAAAAGAACAGAAUUGAGACUGAGAUUAAUUUCUAAUUUCUAAUUAAGAGGGAAGGGAAAAGAAAAGUGGUUCUGUUACCGUUCAGCAACAAUUUAUUGCCAAAUCAAUUGUUCAACUUAUCCAGUGUUUUACUUUUAAAUUUUUACCUAGAUUACUUUGACUAGUUAGAGCUUGCUCGCAUUCCAAAUUAAUUGGUCAUUCAGUGUGAUUUUUCAAAUUUUUCAAACAAAUUUAACUUGAAAAAUAUAAACUUCUUUUUGAAGAAUCAAUUAGAGAGAGAUCUUUAGCAAAUAAAAAAAUAUGAAAUUGUUUUUUUGGUUUUACUGACAAAUUUUACUGGAAAAAUUUAAACUCUUUUUAUUUAUGAAGAACCAGUUUUAACAUUAUUGUUUGUAAAUGAAAAAUUACCUCAGUUUA